CCUACGGGUGGCAGCAGUAGGGAAUAUUGCUCAAUGGGGGAAACCCUGAAGCAGCAACGCCGCGUGGAGGAUGAAGGUUUUCGGAUUGUAAACUCCUAUUGAGAGAGAAGAUAAACACGCCGUCUAACGAAUAAGCACCGACUAACUCCGUGACAGCAGCCGCGGUAAUACGGAGGGUGCAAGCGUUACGUGGAAUCACUGGGCGUAACGAGCGGGGAGGCGGGAUGGAAAGUCAGAUGUGAAAUCCUAUGGCUUAACCAGAGAACUGCAUUUGAAACUGUCAUGCUGGCGUAUAGGUGAGGUAGGUGGAAUUCUUGGUGUAGCGGUAAAAGCCGUAGAGAUCAAGAGGAAUACCCAUUGCGAAGGCGACUUUCUAGACCAUAACUGACGCUGAUGCGCGAAAGCGUGGGGAGCAAACAGGAUUAGAUACCCGGGUAGUC
rnacentral:rRNA from 1 species